rnacentral:rRNA from 1 species
GACGAAGGGGGCAAGCGUUGUUCGGAAUUACUGGGCGUAAAGGGCGCGUAGGCGGCCCGCUAAGUCGAACGUGAAAUCCCCGAGCUCAACUCGGGAACUGCGUCCGAUACUGGUGGGCUUGAAUCCGGGAGAGGGAUGCGGAAUUCCAGGUGUAGCGGUGAAAUGCGUAGAUAUCUGGAGGAACACCAGUGGCGCAAGCGGCUAUCUGGACCAACAUCGACGCUGAGGCACGAAAGCGUGGGGAUCAAACAGG